CAAAGCCUGAGACGUCUGUUCAUGCAGCAUCUGGACCCAAUUUGGUUCUGGUUUGAAUAAACACAGAACCACCUGUUCCAGGUGUGUAAACCUGUCCAGGGCUAGAAGUCACCUCCUCAGACCAGAUUCCAGUGAACACAGAGCUGGACUGGUUUCAGCUACACCUGGACUCUACCUGCCAACAGCGGCUGAUCUGAUUGACUGAGGGUGAGGACUCAGGUGGCUCACCUGUCAGCUGUCGAGGAAUCAGGUGUGUCUCCAGACCAGCCCGACCUGUUCCACCUGCUGCUGCAGUCUGAGCAUGCUCAGUGGAGUCAAACCUGACAGGUGAGAUGGCGUUUUCUGGUGGGGAAAGGCCCAGCCCGCUCUGUGAUGCCCCCUACUGUUACUCUGGGAUUUGUAAGAUCGGAGGUGGACAGGAUGUAGGGAUGUUUUAAAAAGCAACAAGGACGAUUCAUUAUCAUCGUGGAGACAGCCGGCUGUUCCUGUCAUGCUGCAGCGACGCAACACUCCAAAACACACCACAUCAUCUUAAAGCUGGACUUUAGAGACUGUGUUAGCAAAGCAUCAAUGCAGCCACUUCCUCAUCAAGAACACAUCAACGAGUUCUAAUGCCUCAGCUUCAGCAGAACCUCACUGCAGCACCAAGGCCGAUGAGCCGCUAUGAUCUUAGCUGUAAUCCACACAGGGCUUCCCAUCAGGCACAUAUUCAGCUUUCUGGACACCUAGUCAGCAUCUUUCAUUCACAGUGUAAUAAUAUAAUGACGGAUUUAUAAAGCAACAAGUAAGGCGCUUGAGACGCUUUGAUUUUCCUGUUUUGUUGCCUCGACUUGUAGAGGAGAACGCAGUUCCUCUAAAUGAGAGAAACUUGUAGAUAAGGGAACGGUUUAUUGCUUUUACACGGUUCCACUUUAAUUUCAGGAGUCUUCCUUCCAGCGUCGACACGAGAAUGUUUAAUGUCUCUGAGGCUUGACCCUUGGUGCUAUCUACUAAGAUUUACUCUUCUUAACUUGAGUUUAACUGGAGCUUUUCAUUCAACUGCAGUGGUUGUAAAUGAAUAAAUAAUUUUAUUUAUUUAUUUAUCAAAUAAAAAAUAAAC